GUGGGCCUACGGGGCGCAGCAGUGGGGAAUAUUGCACAAUGGGGGGAACCCUGAUGCAGCGACGCCGCGUGAGGGAAGAAGUAUUUCGGUAUGUAAAGCUCUAUCAGCAGGGAAGAAGAUGACGGUACCUGACUAAGAAGCCCCGGCUAACUACGUGCCAGCAGCCGCGGGAAUACAUAGGGGGCAAGCGUUAUCCGGAUUUACUGGGUGUAAAGGGAGCGUAGACGGCAGGGCAAGUCUAGAGUGAAAGCCCG
rnacentral:rRNA from 1 species